CUUUCAGUUUUGUUUUCUUGCCUGCAAGAAACGAAACUUCACAAAAAGACUCCAGGGAGUGGACCAUGGAAGGUGACUUCCAGGAGUGCAGGAACUGCAAAAGAAGUGUGGCCUCUGUCCACUUCACCCUCCACGAGGCUCACUGCCUGCGCUUUCUGGUCCUUUGCUCAGAGUGUGAGGAGCCCAUCCCCAAAGGAAAGAUGAAAGAGCAUCUUCAGGAUGCACACCAGCAGACAAAGAAAAGUCAACAAAGCCCUGUCAAAUGCAAGUUCUGUGACAUAGCCAUGCAUUUCAGCAAGCUGGACAUCCAUGAGUCCCACUGUGGCAGCCGGACAGAGCGCUGUCCAUGCUGCAACCAGCCCAUCAUGCUCCGAGUACUGGCCCAGCACAAAGAUGUGUGUCAGAGUGGAGAGGCCUGGCCUGAGGAAGGGAAGAGAAUUUUAUCUCCUGAAAAGAAAAUCCAUUGUGAUUACUGCAAACAAAUGAUUCCAGAAAAUAAGUAUGUUCGCCAUAUGAAAAAAUGUCCGAUCUCAAAGACUGUGAAAUAUCAUCAAGAUGGAAAGCCCCAAAUCCCUCCUUCAUCCCUUCCACAUCAGGCUGCUGGAAAUCAAACCUCCGCAGUGGAGAAAGAUGUCCGUCCAAAGGCAAAAAACAGAAACAGAUUUCCUCGUCUUUUGGAAAGUUCAACAAAGCAAGCACCAGAUGGAACAGUGGGUCUGCCUUUGAAGUCUGAAAUCAAGCCAAGGGGUGUUCCCACAGGAGAUGAGACAGCCUAUGACAUCCUGCAGAGGUGUUCUCAGUGUGGAAUCUUACUUCCCUUGCCCACGCUAAGGCAGCACCAGGAGAAAUGCCUGAAGUUAGCUUCGUGGAAAGGAAAACAAAUGAGGAAGGCCAGCUAGCUCUGGAAAAGGAACGGUACUGGAAUUCAGAAGCAUUCCUGUUCAGGGUUUCCUGGCUUCCUUCUGUGCAGAGACAUUGGUUGGCCCAAGAGGUACAGGUGACCAGUAGGAAAAAGAGUUCCUGUUCUUCCACUGAGUUUCUGAUCAGCCAUCUAGGCUCAACCACUGGGGUACCCAAGAUGACCCAGCUUCUUUCCUGAAUAAAGCUCCCGCCAAAAGA